AGUCGUUGAACAGCAGAAGAUGCUCCAACCUAAAUACUGAGAGUCUUAAAAGCCAGGCGGAGGGCAGGAGGGUGCUGGGGAAGUUCAGGCUGUCCCCAGAAGGUGACUGUGAGGAUAAAACAAAUUAGGAAGGAGGAGGACAGAACCCUCGUUCUGCUCCCUGACAGGUGAUGGGACUCAGACCCUCACACCUGUCCUUGUAACAUGUCAAUCAGGGAGCUCCACGCCCAGCCUCUAUGCUGGGAUAUGAUCUUCCACCAGUGAGAGGCUUGCCUGAGCUGGCCUGACUGCUUGUAACUCCCUCCCCUGCAGCUGACUGGCUGUAUAACCUUGGGUGAGCUGCACCCACUCUCUGGGCUUCAGACUCUGCACCUUUCUAGAAAUGAAGGCAUUGCUUCAGCUGUGCAACAGAAGGACGGAAGUUCCAAUGAAUGGCUGCUGGGUUUGAGGCCUUCUCUUGUAGUGGAUAAAGCGAAAAUAUCCUACGAGGUUAGGUUGGGGCUGCCCUGUCUGUAGAAAGAAGCUUGCAGGAGUGAUGAUAGCAUGAGGUCUUUGUUCAGAUGUUGCAGAGAGGUGGUUGUUUUGACCGUCUUUAGUUGGUUUCACAGGAAACCACUAUCAGUAAAUUUCCCAUUUGACUUCAGAUCAUUUCUAAUAGUAUUGUGAAGAAUAGGGACAGUGAGAAAGAUGAGGCCAUUUCAGUCCUUGUAACUGGCUUGAGAGAAGGGCUGAUGGGUAUAUCUAUACCUCUUCUAAAGAUGAGGAGACAGAGGUUCAAAGAAGCUCAAUGGCAGUGCGUCACAAGAGGCUCAUGUGCCCAGGCCUCCAGUUCUUCCCAGCUCAGCCUUGGGUUUCACACCCUCUCAAUUUGAAAGGAAAAACACCCUCCCAGUUCUCAGUCACCCCAUUUAAUUGCUAGGAGAAGUGUAUAGGUUUUAACUUGAAUCUUAGUCCCUUCUAGCUUGUGGGGGACACUGCCAACAGCGAAUUUAAUUGUUCUGGGGAGGCAUGAAUGUGUGUUAAGCUUUUAAGACAUAUUCUUGCUAAGUGAAAUGUAAAGAGAAAGUCUUUGAACCUGCCCUCCAGGCUGGAGAGAGAGUACAAGGCCAGCCUGUGGCAAAAGCACAAAGACAGAAAAGGAUGAAGAAAGAGAAGCCCUCUCGGAGGAGGAGGCAGAAUGCCUCAGUUCCCAUAGGCAGACCAUCCAAGAGUAGAGGGAGAACGGGGCAGGUGGAUGCUGUCUUAGAGACAAGCCAUGGGGGCUUCUGGGUUCUCUGUUCCAAAACAAUGUGGGUAGCCUUUUUUGCACGCUUCCUUUCAAUCAGUUGCACCCGAAACUUCACAAGAGCAAAGAGGCUGAUGGUUUCUACAGGAAAAGCUACUUCUUGAACAGUUUCUGAAAGUCUCAUUUUAAUGUGGAGAUGGGAACUUGAGUGGGUGUGAGAACAAGAGGGCAGGGAACAGUGCAAAGUUUAAAGAAAAGCAAAAAGACCCUAAAACAUGCAUAUGACUGAUCCUAACUGGAGCAUAUUUUCCUUGAAUUUAAAGUCAGCUUAUACGACCUUCAUGCUGGACUACACAGUGAAUAUCACAGGCUAUGUGGGUUUUGUUUCUGAUUUUUCAAGCUCUAAGUAGUUCAUUCAUAUUUGGGAACAAAACAUCCCCAUUUUAAAAUUGAUUUGUAAAUAAAGCUGACUGCAAACCCAUUUGGAAUUCAAGCCCUUUCAUUUGAUACAGAAUUAAAAAAACAGACGUCUGCCAGUAGCCAUCGGUUGGGAUGAGUUUCAGUGUCAUCUCCCGGAGCAGCAGGCGGUGGCUGGGACGGCAGCACAGAGAGACAGCCCGGCACAGGCUCCGCUCAGAGCCUCAGGAUGUGGGGAGGCUUCUACAGAUGACCAGCUUGGUGGCGUCAUCGUCCCCACCUGGAGGUGUUUCUGGGCUGGAACAGAGACACACCCCAAGACAUCCCAAGUUCCUCUCUAAGGAACAAUCUCCAGUUCCUUGGCAGGUUGCUAAUAAAUAUUUCCAGUAGGAAGGAGACCUUAUCUGGAACCAGGAGGCGUGUCUGUAAGAAACUCUUAUGAAGUUGUCGGGGUUCAAGUUGGCCUUCCUGUUGUUCACCUGGUGGAGAAUGUUCCUGUGGGCCUUGGCAGCAAGUCAGCAUUCUUCGUUGGCAUGGAUGGAGUCGUAGGAAAAAGAGGAUGCUCUUGUCUUCCUCAGCCUGCGUCAUCCUGGAAGAGACACCUCAACCCAGCCUGACUCCAGAGGAGUCCUGGGGGCUCUGCUGACCGUUGUAGUGCCUCCACCAGAAAAAUGUUAGGUGACAACGUCGCAGGUGGAUAGAAACCUCCAUCCCUGAGUGAGUGAGGGACGAGGGGAGCCCAGGGAAGUGCCUGGCUCUGCCUCCUCAGUCUGAUCCUCUUGAAGCUGCCAGGUCACUGCUGAUUUGCCUUCUGGCUGAAGGCAUUGUCAGGAUGAGAAGGAAGUGAGUGGCACACUCCGACAGUGCCACGGGGCAAGGACAGGUGUGGCAACGUGGAAGACUCCUGUGAAACUCACUGAGAUGCUAGAGGGAGGAGAAGGGGUGGGGUAAGGAAAAGUGGCUGGACAAACUUGGAUUUCCUCAUGUUAUCAAAGGAGUCUCCAUCAUGCUGGCUCCUGGGCACAUCUGCUCACCUCCUUCCCCUGAUUCCUGCGCCGCAGCCACCAGGGCCAGCCCCUUCCCAGCUGACUUCCAGACCAGCCCGCUCCUGCCCUCACCGCCUCCUUGCACUCAGGCACUGGCAGCAGCAUCUUUGCAGCCAGAUCCUCCUUGAGCCUUCAGCUCCUCCCACACUCAGACCUGUGUAGACCUACUCUGGAGGGUGCCCAGGAGUGCUGGGGAGGAGACGGAACUUCUAGCGGUUGCUAAGGAUACAGGUUCAAUUUCUUUUUAUGCACAUCCUGAGAGAAAGGCUGUCCAGUCCUCAACAAUGCAGCCAUGUUGGAUAAUAGAAGGGGAAUUUUUUUUCUUAAGGAUUUGCUAAGAAAUGAACACCAGAAACCAAUACUUCAUUCUAUUCAUAAUAAUUUAUUAUGGCAGAAACAAAUCAGUACAAAAUAAAAGCAACAAUAGCUGAAAUGCUUGCUGUAAAGCUGUCAGAAGAAUCAAAAUUUCUUGUACAUCCAGAUCUGUAAAAACUGAUCUAGAAAAUAUUAGAGUUAAAAACUACUAUGACCACAAUAGAAAGUAUAAAACUGGCAAAGACUAAAAUGAAUAAACGAUAUGUAGACAAGAUACUGAUCUAUGAAUUAAAACUUGACUGC